rnacentral:rRNA from 1 species
CCUACGGGGCGCUGCAGUGAGGAAUAUUGGUCAAUGGGCGCGAGCCUGAACCAGCCAAGUAGCGUGAAGGAUGACUGCCCUACGGGUUGUAAACUUCUUUUAUAAAGGAAUAAAGUGAGGCACGUGUGCCUUUUUGUAUGUACUUUAUGAAUAAGGAUCGGCGAACUCCGUGCCAGCAGCCGCGGUAAUACGGAGGAUCCUAGCGUUAUCCGGAUUUAUUGGGUUUAACGGGACCGUAGAUGGGUUGUUAAGUCAGUUGGGAAAGUUUGCGGCUCAAACGUAAAAUUGCAAUUGAUACUGGCAGCCUUGAGUACAGUUGAGGUAGGCGGAAUUCGUGGUGUAGCGGUGAAAUGCGUAGAUAUCACGAAGAACUCCGAUUGCGAAGGCAGCUUACUAAACUGCCACUGACAUUGAUGCUCGAAAGUGUGGGUAUCAAACAGGAUUAGAUACCCCAGUAGUC